rnacentral:lncRNA from 1 species
UACAAGAGUGUGGGUACAGACACAAAUAUGAUCUGCAGGACCCAGAAGCGCACAUGAGAGAUUGGGAAAGACUUGUCAUAGCAGACAUUUUCACAACCAGGCUGACUCAACCGCUGUCCCCAGCAGCAGGAUUCGGAAAAUGAAAAGUACUGACAGCCACACCUUCCCUCCAGCAGUUGAGUAGGCUUGAACCUUGUCAAGGAGUUUGCCUAAGGC